UUUUCUAUCAAAACAAACUAAGUACGCUUCAGACGAAGGAUAUUUUGGUACUUUCAUGCAGAGGGUAUAUAACUAUCACAUGGCUAAAAGUUUUCAUUUUGAGAUGGACUUUCUCUCUCUAGGUUAGAGAAAAUCAGAAUUGUGCUCUCCCUCCUCUUUACCUCACGCCUUCCCUCUCUCCCUCUCUUCUCCAAUCCUUCCAAAACUACAUUCCUAUGACGAUUAUGUUUAAGUUGUGGUUCCCUCAUGAUCAUGGAGGUUUGUUAUAGCUUGGGUUAACUCAUUUUCCAUCUUGAUCCUCAUAAGAAGAAACUCAAGAAGCUUGGGUUUGGUUUGGAAAGAAGUUGGAAAUUGGAACUUAAAGCUUGAAGCUUACGAUGGAAUCAGCUGUUCAUAAGUGAUUUCUCUAGAUAGCUCUUUCCUUGGGUUAAUGUGUGUAAUUGGGUGAGAGUCUAUAUUAUGCUAGAUUUAUGAAUUAGGAAUGUAGUGACCCAUAUGUGCCAUAAAUUGCCAAAAACAUGUUGAUUGUUGCCAUGCAUUCCAAUUUAUACUGUUUUUAUGUGUUCUGGAUGUAUAAUGAGCAUUAGGGACUUGAAAUUGAGGUUUGUGAUGCUAAAACACGUUUCUGCAUUUCUGGAACUAAAGAAACACGCCAUAAGCAAGUAA
rnacentral:lncRNA from 1 species